GACGAACGCUGGCGGCGUGCUUAACACAUGCAAGUCGAGCGGAAAGGCUCCUUCGGGGGUACUCGAGCGGCGAACGGGUGAGUAACACGUGAGUAAUCUGCCCCUGGCUUCGGGAUAGCCACCGGAAACGGUGAUUAAUACCGGAUAUGACCACUUCUCGCAUGGGAUGGUGGUGGAAAGUUUUUUCGGCCAGGGAUGUGCUCGCGGCCUAUCAGCUUGAUGGUGAGGUAAUGGCUCACCAUGGCUUCGACGGGUAGCCGGCCUGAGAGGGUGACCGUGCACACUGGGACUGAGACACGGCACAGACUCCUACGGGAGUCAGCAGUGGGGAAUAUUGGACAAUGGGCGGAAGCCUGAUCCAGCAACGCCGCGUGAGGGAUGACGGCCUUCGGGUUGUAAACCUCUUUCGGUAGGGACGAAGCGUAAGUGACGGUACCUACUAAAGAAGCACCGGCCAACUACGUGCCAGCCGCCGCAGUAAAAC
rnacentral:rRNA from 1 species